CCGGGUGUAGCGCAGUUGGUAGCGCACUUGACUGGGGGUCAAGGGGCCGCAGGUUCAAGUCCUGUCACUCGGACCA
rnacentral:tRNA from 2 species